CUUGGAAACGGUUGAACCAUGUAAACAAUACUCUUUGUGUGUAAAAUUUGGGAUAUUUUCUGUGUUUGAAGAGUUCUCGCUGUGCGCUGGUCGGCCAUCUUGAAAAAUAAAUUGUGAAGGUCGUAUUUCCAGCUUUCCUGCGAGACGGCAGUUCAGAUGCAGUCGUCCUGUGUGUCAGAAAGCUGGUGAUCAAAAUGGUUGAAGGCAGUACCCAAGAAAGUACAUUUACAAAGUUGUGAGGAGUAACCUAGCCUAUAUAACCUGAAGCUCACCCAAUAUGCAGUGUGUUCUGCUUUGUCAAUAACAACUCUGUAUGGCUGGUCUGACCUCAGUGGAGGUUGUUCGUUUAAAUGGUUUCGGGACAUUGAAGUAAAACAACACGAGAAUGUCCCACCAAGAGUGAAGGGCUGCCUGUUUGCUUCAGAUUCCCAGUCCUCCUCGCUGAUGAUUUCUGAAGUCCUUACGCAGUCACCCCAGUCUUCAACCUCAGUUUGUACAGAUGAGAUGCCAUACACAGGGGAUCCGACAGAAGACAGCAGACAGAAUUCGUCGAUCUAUUUGAAAUGUCAUUGUUUAUUUGAAAAAAGUUACCUAUC